rnacentral:pre_miRNA from 3 species
CCUCUCAGGAAAGCUUUUUGCUCGAAUUAUGUUUCUCAUCCAAAUAUAAGACGAACAAAAGGUUUGUCUGAGGGCUG